UACGGGGGGGGUAAGCGUUGUUCGGAAUUACUGGGCGUAAAGGGCUCGUAGGCGGCCAACUAAGUCAGACGUGAAAUCCCUCAGCUUAACUGGGGAACUGCGUCUGAUACUGGAUGGCUUGGAUUCGGGAGAGGAAUGCGGAAUUCCAGGUGUAGCGGUGAAAUGCGUAGAUAUCAGGAAGAACACCCGUGGCGAAGGCGGCUCUCUGGUACGGAACUGACGCUGAGACGCGAAAGCGUGGGGAGCGAACAGG
rnacentral:rRNA from 1 species